AUUGAACGCUGGCGGCAUGCUUUACACAUGCAAGUCGAACGGUAACAGGCCGCAAGGUGCUGACGAUUGGCGCACGGGUGAGUAAUGCAUCGGAACGUGCCCAGUCGUGGGGGAUAACUACUCGCAAGAGUAGCUAAUACCGCAUACGAUCUAUGGAUGAAAGCGGGGGACCGUAAGGCCUCGCGCGCUUGGAGCGGCCGAUGUCAGAUUAGGUAGUUGGUGGGGUAAAGGCUCACCAAGCCAACGAUCUGUAGCUGGUAUGAGAGGACGACCAGCCACACUGGGACUGAGACACGGCACAGACUCCUACGGGAGGCAGCAGUGGGGAAUUUUGGACAAUGGGCGCAAGCCGGAUGCAGCAAUGCCGCGUGCAGGAAGAAGGCCUUCGGGUUGUAAACUGCUUUUGUACGGAACGAAACGGCUCUGGUUAAUACCCGGGGCUAAUGACGGUACCGUAAGAAUAAGCACCGGCUAACUACGUG
rnacentral:rRNA from 1 species